rnacentral:rRNA from 1 species
AGUGAACGCUGGCGGUAGGCCUAACACAUGCAAGUCGAACGGCAGCACAGUAAGAGCUUGCUCUUACGGGUGGCGAGUGGCGGACGGGUGAGGAAUACAUCGGAAUCUACUUUUUCGUGGGGGAUAACGUAGGGAAACUUAUGCUAAUACCGCAUACGACCUACGGGUGAAAGCAGGGGAUCUUCGGACCUUGCGCGAUUGAAUGAGCCGAUGUCGGAUUAGCUAGUUGGCGGGGUAAAGGCCCACCAAGGCGACGAUCCGUAGCUGGUCUGAGAGGAUGAUCAGCCACACUGGAACUGAGACACGGUCCAGACUCCUACGGGAGGCAGCAGUGGGGAAUAUUGGACAAUGGGCGCAAGCCUGAUCCAGCCAUACCGCGUGGGUGAAGAAGGCCUUCGGGUCGUAAAGCCCUUUUGUUGGGAAAGAAAAGCAGCAGGUUAAUACCCCGCUGUUCUGACGGUACCCAAAGAAUAAGCACCGGCUAACUUCGUG